rnacentral:rRNA from 1 species
ACUCCUACGGGAGGCAGCAGUGGGGAAUAUUGCACAAUGGGCGCAAGCCUGAUGCAGCGACGCCGCGUGAGGGAUGACGGCCUUCGGGUUGUAAACCUCUUUCAGCAGGGAAGAGGCGAAAGUGACGGUACCUGCAGAAGAAGCGCCGGCUAACUACGUGCCARCAGCCGCGGUAAUACGUAGGGCGCAAGCGUUGUCCGGAAUUAUUGGGCGUAAAGAGCUCGUAGGCGGUUUGUCGCGUCUGCUGUGAAAACCUAAGGCUCAACCUUGGGCUUGCAGUGGGUACGGGCAGACUAGAGUGCGGUAGGGGUGACUGGAAUUCCUGGUGUAGCGGUGGAAUGCGCAGAUAUCAGGAGGAACACCGAUGGCGAAGGCAGGUCACUGGGCCGCAACUGACGCUGAGGAGCGAAAGCAUGGGGAGCGAACAGGAUUAGAUACCCUGGUAGUCCAUGCCGUAAACGUUGGGCACUAGGUGUGGGGCUCAUUCCACGAGUUCCGUGCYGCAGCAAACGCAUUAAGUGCCCCGCCUGGGGAGUACGGCCGCAAGGCUAAAACUCAAAGAAAUUGACGGGGGCCCGCACAAGCGGCGGAGCAUGCGGAUUAAUUCGAUGCAACGCGAAGAACCUUACCAAGGCUUGACAUACACCGGAAAAGUGCAGAGAUGUGCUCCCCGCAAGGUCKGUGUACAGGUGGUGCAUGGUUGUCGUCAGCUCGUGUCGUGAGAUGUUGGGUUAAGUCCCGCAACGAGCGCAACCCUCGUCCCAUGUUGCCAGCGGGUUAUGCCGGGGACUCAUGGGAGACUGCCGGGGUCAACUCGGA